rnacentral:lncRNA from 1 species
UACCGCGCUGUGCUGAUCAUUCCAUCUGGUCCUGAAAGUUAUGAGAUCUGCAGUGAUGUAUCGUUUAAAGGAUUUAGUUGCUUGUUGAUGCAGCAUGAUAGAGUUAUUGCAUAUGCGUCCCGUCAGUUGAGAUCUUGUGAGUUAAAUCAUUGGACGCACAUCGUAGAACUUGUAGUAAUUAUGUUCGUUUGGAAUUUUAGAGGCACUAUCGGUACAGAGGAAUAUUUCAUAUCGUC